rnacentral:rRNA from 1 species
CUCCCUGAUGUUAGCGGCGGACGGGUGAGUAACACGUGGGUAACCUGCCUGUAAGACUGGGAUAACUCCGGGAAACCGGGGCUAAUACCGGAUGCUUGAUUGAACCGCAUGGUUCAAUUAUAAAAGGUGGCUUUUAGCUACCACUUACAGAUGGACCCGCGGCGCAUUACCUAGUUGGUGAGGUAACGGCUCACCAAGGCAACGAUGCGUANCCGACCUGAGAGGGUGAUCGGCCACACUGGGACUGAGACACGGCCCAAACUCCUACGGGAGGCAGCAGUAGGGAAUCUUCCGCAAUGGACNAAAGUCUGACGGAGCANCNCCGCGUGAGUGAUGAAGGUUUUCGGAUCGUAAAACUCUGUUGUUAGGGAANAACAAGUACCGUUCGAAUAGGGCGGUACCUUGACGGUACCUAACCAGAAAGCCACGGCUAACUACGUGCCAGCAGCCGCGGUAAUACGUAGGUGGCAAGCGUUGUCCGGAAUUAUUGGGCGUAAAGCGCGCGCAGGCGGUUUCUUAAGUCUGAUGUGAAAGCCCCCGGCUCAACCGGGGAGGGUCAUUGGAAACUGGGGAACUUGAGUGCANAAGAGGAGAGUGGAAUUCCACGUGUAGCGGUGAAAUGCNUAGAGAUGUGGAGGAACACCAGUGGCGAAGGCGACUCUCUGGUCUGUAACUGACGCUGAGGCGCGAAAGCGUGGGGAGCGAACAGGAUUAGAUACCUUGGUAGUCCACGCCGUAAACGAUGAGUGCUAAGUGUUAA